rnacentral:rRNA from 1 species
AUUGAACGCUGGCGGAAUGCUUUACACAUGCAAGUCGAACGGCAGCACGGACUUCGGUCUGGUGGCGAGUGGCGAACGGGUGAGUAAUGUAUCGGAACGUGCCCAGUCGUGGGGGAUAACGUAGUGAAAAUUACUCUAAUACCGCAUACGAUCUAUGGAUGAAAGCGGGGGAUCGCAAGACCUAGCGCGAUUGGAGCGGCCGAUAUCAGAUUAGGUAGUUGGUGGGGUAAAGGCCCACCAAGACAACGAUCUGUAGCUGGUCUGAGAGGACGACCAGCCACACUGGAACUGAGACACGGUCCAGACUCCUACGGGAGGCAGCAGUGGGGAAUUUUGGACAAUGGGCGAAAGCCUGAUCCAGCCAUUCCGCGUGCAGGAUGAAGGCCCUCGGGUUGUAAACUGCUUUUGUACAGAACGAAAAGGUUUCUACUAAUACUAGGAGCUCAUGACGGUACUGUAAGAAUAAGCACCGGCUAACUACGUGCCAGCCGCCGCUGUAA